rnacentral:rRNA from 1 species
GACGAACGCUGGCGGCGUGCCUAAUACAUGCCAGUAGAACGCUGAAGAGAGGAGCUUACUCUUCUUGGAUGAGUUGCGAACGGGUGAGUAACGCGUAGGUAACCUGCCUUGUAGCGGGGGAUAACUAUUGGAAACGAUAGCUAAUACCGCAUAACAAUGGAUGACACAUGUCAUUUAUUUGAAAGGGGCAAUUGCUCCACUACAAGAUGGACCUGCGUUGUAUUAGCUAGUAGGUGAGGUAAUGGCUCACCUAGGCGACGAUACAUAGCCGACCUGAGAGGGUGAUCGGCCACACUGGGACUGAGACACGGCCCAGACUCCUACGGGAGGCAGCAGUAGGGAAUCUUCGGCAAUGGGGGCAACCCUGACCGAGCAACGCCGCGUGAGUGAAGAAGGUUUUCGGAUCGUAAAGCUCUGUUGUAAGUCAAGAACGGGUGUGAGAGUGGAAAGUUCACACUGUGACGGUAGCUUACCAGAAAGGGACGGCUAACUACGU